ACAUACGACCACACCCACUGGAAAACUCGGGAUCCCGUCCGCUCUCCCAUAGAUAAGCCAGUGAGGGCCAGACUAGGCGAAUCCCUGGUGUUGUAUCUU
rnacentral:rRNA from 1 species